CACGUAGGGCGCAAGCGUUGUCCGGAAUUAUUGGGCGUAAAGAGCUCGUAGGCGGUCUGUUGCGUCCGCUGUGAAAACUCGGGGCUUAACCCCGAGCCUGCAGUGGAUACGGGCAGACUAGAGGUAGGUAGGGGAGAAUGGAAUUCCCGGUGUAGCGGUGAAAUGCGCAGAUAUCAGGAGGAACACCUGUGGCGAAAGCGGCUCACUGGACCACAACUGACGCUGAUGCACGAAAGCUAGGGGAGCAAACAGG
rnacentral:rRNA from 1 species